rnacentral:rRNA from 1 species
AGCUCCAAUAGCGUAUAUUAAAGCUGUUGUGGUUAAAAAGCUCGUAGUUGGAUCUCAACAGCCUUGAAGCGGUUAACUUUGUAGUUUUACUGCUUUAUAGGCUGUGCUUUUGCUGGAGGUUUAGGGGUGCUCUUGAUCGAGUGUCUCUGGAUGCCAGCAGGUUUACUUUGAAAAAAUUAGAGUGCUCAAAGCAGGCUAAAAUGCCUGAAUAUUCGUGCAUGGAAUAAUAGAAUAGGAUGUCGAUCCUAUUUUGUUGGUUUUCGGGACUCGACAUAAUGAUAAAUAGGGACAGUCGGGGGCAUUUGUAUUCAAACGACAGAGGUGAAAUUCUUGGACCGUUUGAAGACAAACUACUGCGAAAGCAUUUGCCAAGAAUGUUUUCAUUAAUCAAGAACGAAAG